rnacentral:tRNA from 1 species
GGGGCCGUAGCUCAGUUGGGAGAGCGUCUGACUGGCAGUCAGAAGGUCGUCGGUUCGAUCCCGAUCGGCUCCACCA